AUGAUGCAACCAAAAAAGGAUGGAGGACUGGGGUUCCGAGAUCUUGAACUUUUUAAUUUAGCAUUAUUAGCCCGACAGGCAUGGCGCCUGCUGACUAUGCCUAACUCCCUCUGUGCAAAGCUACUCAAGGAAAUUUAUUAUCCACAGAUGAGCAUUUUGGAAGCUGGAGUGGGCUCUCAUCCUUCGCAGGUAUGGCGUUCUUUGAUUGAAGGGAGAGACAUGCUAGCGCAAGGUUUGAUUCGCAGGAUAGGUGACGAGAGUUCCACACAUAUAUGGUCUCACAAUUGGAUUCCCAGGGACACUUCAAUGAAACCAAUUGCAUGCUUGUCACCGAACCCUCCAUCUCUGGUGGCGGACCUGAUCGACAACACAACUGUGUCAUGGCGAGCCAAUCUUCUACAAUAG
rnacentral:rRNA from 1 species